AUUGGCGUCUUACCAGACAUGGUUAGAUCUAAUUAUCCCUGUCUAAUACUGUCUGGUAAUGCCGUCCAU
rnacentral:pre_miRNA from 1 species